rnacentral:misc_RNA from 1 species
AAAUGCGAUAAGUAAUGUGAAUUGCAGAAUUCAGUGAAUCAUCGAAUCUUUGAACGCACAUUGCGCUCCUUGGUAUUUCUUGGAGCAUGCCUGUUUGAGUAUCAUGAAAUCUUCAAAGUAAAUCUUUUGUUAACUCAAUUGGUUUCUACUUUGGUAUUGGAGGUCUUUGCAGCUUCACACCUGCUCCUCUUUGUUCAUUAGCUGGAUCUCAGUGUUAUGCUUGGUUCCACUCGGCGUGAUAAGUUAUCUAUCGCUGAGGACACUGUAAAAGGUGGCCAAGGUAAAUGCAGAUGAACCGCUUCUAAUAGUCCAUUGACUUGGACAAUACUUUUAUGAUCUGAUCUCAAAUCAGGUAGGACUACCCGCUGAACUUAAGC